UGUCUGAGUGUGAGUGUGAGUGUGAGUGUGCGUGUGUGAGGUGCCAUUAAGAAAUGUGUCAAAACAUGUGAGGAAUUAUAUAAGCUAAAAUACGACAACAGCAGGGGGUAAGGAUAGGCAGAGGAUAUGCCAGAAUGCCACAAUGCCAGAAGGUAAGAUUCGAGAAUAUAAAUCGAUUUUGUUUUUUGGGGGGGUUUCCCAGUUGGAUUCCAUAAAGCAUGAACUGCGAAGAUAUCAUUUGCCAAAGCAAACAUUAACUCGGAUCGAAAUUGAAUUAGAGCAGAACAUUGGUCAUUGGCACGUACCCCCCCCCCCAACCCACCGACCACCCCUCUUGAGAACCACAACCCCAUCCCCUCGGAGAGGCAUACGACCAACCAUUCAAGCAUUCAUCCAUCGCCAGAAUCAAGAGUCAACAACUCUCGCUUUGUUUUACUUUCCCAGCAAACAGAAAUUAAAGCCAAGCGGGAGAAACGAGAAAAAAACGCGAAGAGCCAACAGGAAAACCCAACGCAUGACACAAAUUUACAAAAGGUGGUAGAACAAAAAGCGGAAAGCGACGGAAGGCGACGCCGCAGAAGAAGACCUUCUUCCAUGGCGAUUACGACAAGGUGUCUGUGAUAUCGCCCUACGGAUGUUGAGUGGGAUCUUCUGGGACUAUGAGGAUGCAUUAGCUGCCUGCAGCCUGGACGCAUCCCACGCUGUCUGCAAAUAUUAAGGAAGCACAAAGACCUAGCUACCGGCCUCCACCUCAACGACGUCGACCUCAAGUUGAUUUUAAAUUUAUUUGUACUUGGAUGCGAACAACAAGACCUAGAUCUCGGCCUGGAAUGGAAGUAACUCCUGCAUAACGUCCACUAUUGACGCCACAGCACCACAACGUGUUCAUUUGCUGAUUCCAACGUUUAUUUACCAAUUCCGAUCUUGCCCAGGACCAGGACCCAGGACGGCGCUCUCCUUGCUUUAUUCUGUUUAUUUUUCUUGAUUUCGUGAGCAUGUAAAUUUAGUAAUUUAGAAAUGAAAUGAAGCAUGGAGGCCGAAGUAUGUAAAAUUAAGCAACUGAAAACAUACACAUAUUAAAAUCAGGCACGCCUUUUUAUUGGACGUGUUCGGAUCGGUCAGAAAUGUAUCUAAGUUCUUAUAUAUGU
rnacentral:sRNA from 1 species